rnacentral:misc_RNA from 1 species
UUUCCGUAGGUGGACCUGCGGAAGGAUCAUUAUUGUAUAACCGAGGUGCGAGGGCUGUCGCUGACCCGAAAGGUCGUGCACGCCCGAGUGCCCUCACACACAUCCAUCUCACCCCUAUGUGCACCACCGCGUGGGUCCCCCUUUGGCUUGUUCGGAGGGGGGCUUACGUUUUCACACAAACUUUGUAUGCAGUGUAGAAUGUAUUUUUUGUUUUUGCGAUCACGCAAUCAAUACAACUUUCAACAACGGAUCUCUUGGUUCUC